rnacentral:rRNA from 1 species
UACGUAGGGUGCAAGCGUUAAUCGGAAUUACUGGGCGUAAAGCGUGCGCAGGCGGUUAUGUAAGACAGUUGUGAAAUCCCCGGGCUUAACCUGGGAACUGCAUUGGUGACUGGCAGCUUUGAGUAUGGCAGAGGGGGGGUAGAAUUCCACGUGUAGCAGUGAAAUGCGUAGAGAUGUGGAGAAGACCGGAUGGCGAAGGCAGCCCCCCUGGGGC